AAAAAGGAGUUUUGUCCCAUCGGCUAAGGGCCAAGUUGGUAAUUUUUCUUACAUCUCCCCCCUGGAGCCCAGGUAUCAUACACGCCCCCUAAAAUAAAGAGCCUUGAAUACUAGAAAAAAAGCACCUAUACCUAACAAGAUUAAGUGAAUACCCAAAUUUUUUUA
rfam:Citrus clementina cultivar Clemenules unplaced genomic scaffold scaffold_7, whole genome shotgun sequence.